AACACUGUUAACCUGCGGUACCUGCGGAAGGAUCAUUACAGAGUUGCAAAACUCCCUAAACCAUUGUGAACGUUACCUAAACCGUCGCUUCGGCGGGCGGCCCGGGUCCUUCCCGGCGCCCCUCGGCCCUCGCGGGCGCCCGCCGGAGGUAAACCAAACUAUUGCAUUGUAUGGCCUCUCUGAGUCUUCUGUACUGAAUAAGUCAAAACUUUCAACAACGGAUCUCAGAUCGGAAGAGCA
rnacentral:misc_RNA from 1 species